rnacentral:rRNA from 1 species
GAUGAACGCUGGCGGCGUGCUUAACACAUGCAAGUCGAGCGAGAAAAGUUCUUCGGAGCUUUUCUAGCGGCGGACGGGUGAGUAACACGUGGGCAACCUGCCUCAUAGAGGGGAAUAGCCUUCCGAAAGGAAGAUUAAUACCGCAUAAUAUUGUUGAAAGGCAUCUUUUAACAAUCAAAGGAGCAAUCCGCUAUGAGAUGGGCCCGCGGCGCAUUAGCUAGUUGGUGAGGUAACGGCUCACCAAGGAGACGAUGCGUAGCCGACCUGAGAGGGUGAUCGGCCACAUUGGAACUGAGACACGGUCCAGACUCCUACGGGAGGCAGCAGUGGGGAAUAUUGCACAAUGGGGGAAACCCUGAUGCAGCAACGCCGCGUGAGUGAUGAAGGUCUUCGGAUUGUAAAGCUCUGUCUUUAGGGACGAUAAUGACGGUACCUAAGGAGGAAGCCACGGCUAACUACGUGCCAGCAGCCGCCGUAACAC